rnacentral:tRNA from 1 species
GGGAAGGUAGCUCAGUGGUAGAGUGCAUGCCUUGCAAGCACGAGGCCCUGGGUUUGAUUCCUCAGCACCA